rnacentral:rRNA from 1 species
GGAUGCGAUCAUACCAGCACUAAAACACCGAAUUCC